AGGAUGCAGUGAAGAAACGCAUCAAACGAUGGAUAAGGAUGCAGUGAAGAAACGCAUCAAACGAUGGAUAAGGUUGUGGUGAAGAAACGCAGACACACCCUCGCUCUCUGGAAGUUUCCGUGACUGAGGUUUUGGGACCAACAUUGAUUUUAAAUACAAGGACAGCAGUUUUAAGGACUCAGUGUGGUGAGGACUCAUUGGAAAUAAGAAAACGUUUGCCUACUUUACAGAUUUUUAUGUUCUCUAAAAUAGGUCUGUUUUUAAAAAAGACAUUUUAAAAGGGACAUGUUACAUUCAAUGAGGGAAGAAAAUGGUAAAUGUCAGGGAUAAUUAUUUUGUGCUUGAAAGCAGAAGAAAAUGAAUGAUCCCUGAUUUCCUGAAGCAUUUAAACUAAAACAGAACAGCACCCUGCUCUGUGCUCCCGACACAGGUGGCUAAUCCGGAAUCCUGGUCAACAAAGUCUGCAGCCCUGCAGCCUGCUGUGAUGUUUGCUGAGCAGCAGAGACAGGUGAAGAGUUGCUCUGAGAAUGCCCUGAUCUGCUGCAGCUGUAGGUGAAGGAGCAGCUUAGGAUAGAAAUCAAGAUAAGAGCAACAAACCCAGGCUCCCGCGAGAAGCCAGUGGGUGUCCAACUUGAGGGCGGAGGAAGGCCUGCACUGCCUGGACGAGGACUGACUGCGGCAAAUUCACUCCAGGGCUGGGCGUCCACGUCCAGCCAGAACG
rnacentral:lncRNA from 1 species